GACGUAGGGCGCGAGCGUUGUCCGGAUUUAUUGGGCGUAAAGAGCUCGUAGGCGGCUUGUCGCGUCGACUGUGAAAGCCCGCGGCUCAACCGCGGGUCUGCAGUCGAUACGGGCAGGCUAGAGUUCGGUAGGGGAGACUGGAAUUCCUGGUGUAGCGGUGGAAUGCGCAGAUAUCAGGAGGAACACCAAUGGCGAAGGCAGAUCUCUGGGCCGUAACUGACGCUGAGGAGCGAAAGCAUGGGGAGCGAACAGG
rnacentral:rRNA from 1 species